GCAGGUAUGGCGGAAUGGCAGACGCGCUAUCUUGAGGGGGUAGUGAAUGAAUUUUCGUGCGGGUUCAAGUCCCGCUACCUGCA
rnacentral:tRNA from 1 species